UUAAUCCUAUAUAUCCAUUUAAAGUACAAAAAUCUCGAAACAUAAUUAUCACAUCUUAUCUUCUUCUUUUUUUCUCUCUCUUCUUUCUCGGUUUCUCCUCCCCCAAUUCUUCACGAACCAAAUGGCUUCUUCAUCUCGAGCAACGGAGCAAGUGAUCACUCUGCUAGCAGGGUUUCUUCUUACUACAAGAAACAUAUUGAUCCGUCGUUUACCGUGGAUUCAGUGAGAAUUAAAUCGUUGUGAUUUGAUUUACAAGCCAGGUGGUCAAGAUUGGUGUUGGCACAAGAUCGUGCGACUUCUGAGGAGGAAAAAUUAUCAGUCAAACGCCAGAAAGAAGAGCUGAAGAGAGGCUGCGAGAGUUGAGAUCAAAGGCGGUCGGUACUCCGAGUCUGCGGCGGCGGCUAACACUUAUUGAGGGUAAAAAGAGGCAGAGGAAAAUUGAGAAACGGUUGGCGUGGGCCUCAAACAACGCUGAGAAAUGGAUAAAGGGAUUCGAAGAGUAUAUGGCAGAGAAAGAGACAUAGGAGAAACCUGGAGCAUCUAGGAGACUGAAUGCAUGGUGGUGUGUAGAUGUCUGGGUACUAGAUAGCAGGCGUUUACAACUAUUGUGAUUAUCAGUUCGUUUAAGAUAUUCUGGAAUUAUGAUGGCUAGUUCUAGCCUAUAGGUUGAAAUCUCUUAUAACACACUAGUAUUAACCUCUCAUUUCGUUUAUGUCGAUAAAUAUUUCUGUCUUUUGCCUAUUAUCUUUUUAUAGCUAAAACCUAGAGAUCAUUGAUCUUUUAAUGUAUGUGAUCUAAUAGCAAAAGACCUUCUUAUAGAUCUCAUGCUUUAUAGAAAUUCUGAUCUUAAUGCUAA